AUAGAACAACCUUCGGGAUACAUCGUGAAAGGCCAAGAGAAUAAGGUGCUGAAAUUGAAAAAGGCCUUAUACGGGUUGAAGCAAGCGCCUCGAGCAUGAAAUAGCAGGAUAGACAAGUAUUUCCAGCAGAAUGACUUUACAAAAUGCCCACAUGAGCAUGCCCUCUACACCAAAGUAAGCAAGGAUGGAGAUGAUAUGUUUGUGUGCCUAUACGUGGAUGACUUGAUAUUCACCGGUAGUAAUCCUAAAAUGUUCGAGGAGUUCAAGAAAGCAAUGGUUCGAGAGUUCGAGAUGACCGACAUUGGACUUAUGGCUUACUAUCUUGGGAUCGAGGUGAAACAAAAGAAAGAAGGAAUAUUCAUAUCCCAAGAAGGUUAUGCGACGGAGGUGCUGAAGAAGUUUUAGAUGAAUGACUGCAAGUUCUGAACACACCGGUGGAUUGCAAUCUCAAGUUGUCAAAAGAUGAUGAAGGAUACUUGGUGGACCCAACACAAUACAAGAGUUUGGUUGGAAGUCUGAGGUACCUAACCUGCACGAGGCCAGAUAUUCUCUGUGGAGUUGGACUAGUAAGUCGAUAUAUGGAAGCACCUACAAUAAAUCACUCGAAGGCAGCAAAGAGGAUACUUCACUACAUCAAAUGUACGAUUGACUAUGGUCUGUUUUAUUCGCUUUCGGAUCACUUCAAGCUAGUUGGAUACAGUGAUAGUGAUUGGGCCGGAGACAUAGAUGAUCGUAAGAGUACGAGUGGUUUUGUGUUCUAUAUGGGAGAUACCUAGUUGGAUACAGUGAUAGUGAUUGGGCCGGAGACAUAGAUGAUCGUAAGAGUACCAGUGGUUUCGUGUUCUAUAUGGGAGAUACGGCGUUUACAUGGAGUUCGAAGAAGCAACCCACUAUGACUCUGUCAACGUGUGAAGCCGAGUAUGUAGCAGCAACAUCGUGCACCCGUCAUGCAGUGUGGCUCGGGAAGUUAUUAAAUGAGCUUAAGUUUUCUCAAAAUGAAGCUACAGAGAUAUAUGUGGAUAACAAGUCUGCGAUUGCUCUAGAAAAGAAUCCAAUCUUCUAUGAUCGAAGCAAGCACAUCGAUACGAAAUACCAUUACAUCAGGGAGUGUGUUGCAAAUAAAGAGGUGCAGAUAAAGUACGCGAAGUCAUUUGACCAAGUUCCUGAUAUUUUCACAAAGCCUCUAAAACACGAGACGUUUCAGAGAUUACGGAAUAUGCUCGGAAUGACGAAAUCAAGUUUAAGCGGGGCUGUUGAAAAAUAAACUUGAUUUUGGGUUAUGUGUUUUGGAUUUGGGCUUGCAAGUAUCACUCAUACAUUGACAGCAACAAAUGUUUGAAAAAUAAACUUGAUUUUGGGUUAUGUGUUUUGGAUUUUGACUUGCAAAUAUCCAAGUAUAUUAGAUCAAGAUUGUAU
rnacentral:lncRNA from 1 species